GGUGAAUUCAGAAACUGAGGUAUUUUCCUAGUCCCUGUUAUGACCAGGUGCCACUGGGUGUGGCGGAGAAGGCGUUCUCAGGUUGAAAAGGAUGGAGGAGGGACGGAGGACCCCAUCAGUCAGGCGGGCAGUCGAUUGCAUUUGGCUUGGAAGUGAGUCCAAUAAUGCAAUGGCUGAAGAACAAGGGUGUUUCAGAGUAGCUGGAUGGAUGUCUUGGAUUUUAAUUGUAACUCUGACGAUUUGGAGUGAUCGUGGUAACGGACAAGGUCAAGAUUAAGAAGCAAUAACCAAGAUGAAGAAGAAACCCAGAAAUGAGAAAGGUUGACAGCUGGGACAAUAGCUGUAAAGAAUAGAGAUGGAAAUGCAGCAUUUUUCAGUUAAUGCCUGUAUUGGAUAGCAAAGUUUAAACUGUAAUCCAAUGGAAAAGAAUUGUUGAAACUUCAUCAUUUUGCAGCUUGGUUGGGCUCAGCUGCCAAGCUGUCUUACCUGGUUCUGUAACUUACAGCUGUUCCUUGGUGUCUCAUGCAAGUCUCCACAUAUGGCCUACAUUAAUCAUCAAGACAGAUUAUGGAAU
rnacentral:lncRNA from 1 species